rnacentral:sRNA from 1 species
ACGAUGGUUUUCUAGGGUUCCGCAGCGUUGCUGGACUGGUCCGAGAGAAAACACACGACUGAUGUUUCAGUUGUGCACACGGAGGGACAAAAGCCCGGGAGGA